CCUUAACUAAGAAUCCAUUCUAUACAGGGUACUGGAUUGUAUGCCAGGAGGGCAAAGAUGAAAAAUGACCCAAUUCCUGCCCUGGAGCUUCGAAGAGAUGAGGAAACUGAGGCAAACAGGGCUAAGGGGCUUGCCCAGAGUCACAAGUGUCUGAACCUGGAGUUGAACGCAGACUUUCCAAAGGAUACCCCAACACUGAUGAGACAGAUAGACAGCGUCAUGGAAACAAGGAACGUGAAUUCAGCCAGACUUUGAGAGAUGGUGGAGGAUGGUGGUGGAGGACCAUUGCUAUGGUCCAUGGGAUCAUGAAGAGCUGGACGUGGCUGAACAACAGAACCACAACACUCCAACACAAGUCUAAAGUGCUCAUAAAAAUAUAUUGUUGAACUAUUUUUUUUUUUUGCUCGUCACUUUCCUAGAUGAGUUUGAAGGAGAAAAAAAAUAAACAGAUAGCUAUCUUCAGAAGAAAUCAAACCUUUUUCCUCAGGAAAGUGAAUCCAUCUGUAACCUCCAGUUUCUGUCAAGACGAGAUAAAGCUCUCUAUUGUGACAUUUCUAUACUGCAGAGUAGAGAAAGUCAAUAAAGUUUAUGUAAACACCUGAUGAAAUUACUCCAUGAGGUGUUGCAGGGAGCUUAUGGAAAAGCUGGGAAUCACAGAAAGAGAUGCUUUUUCAGAAAACAAACAAACAAACAAACAAACAAGUCCUUGAAAGCAAAUAAGAAAAUAAGUUUUCCUUCCUUCCUUCCUUCCUUCCUUCCUUCCUCCCUUCCUUCCUUCCUUCCUUCCUUCCUUCCUUCCUUCCUUCCUUCCUUCCUUCCUUCCUUCCUUCCUUCCUUCCUUCCUUCCUUCCUUCCUUCCUUCCUUCCUUCCUUCUUUCCUUCCUUCCUUCCUUCUUCCCUCCCUCUCUUUCUUUUUCAUAUUUUGUUCUUUGCCCUCCAACCCAUUUAUGGCAGCUGUUUUCUGAUGCCUUAAAAGCAUCAUCUACAACAACAGCAACAGCAACAAUAAUUCUUCCACCCCACCGCCCAAAACAAACCACUUAUGAUUUUAUCCAAGCUACAUACAGCUACAUAAAGCUAUUCUGCAAAGUAUAGCCCUAGUUACCGGGGCUGGGCGUCGUGUCAUUGACCCAGAGGUUCUAAGAAAUCAGAGGCAAGACUUAGGCCAAUCUGUGUCAGGGCUGGGACUUUUAACCCAUGCCCAAGGCUAACUCUCUCUGUGUGACGCCAUGAUGCCUUUUAUCAGUCUCAUACAACAGUAUUCUCAUGGCUGAGGCAGCAUGCCCAUUGGAGUUCCAUUGAGUGCAUGUGAGCUCUGUUAUUCAUCCCCAUGUUUCUAUAUUAAAAGAGCCAAUUGAGUUGCCUGUCUUGGUUUGAUGGUCUUUUUCUUAAUAAGGGGGAACGGAAUAAGCAUUUAUUAAGUACUUACUAUAUGCCAGACACUGUGUUAAGCAACUAACAAAUAUUUAAUCCUCACAACCACGCUGGGAGGUAGGAGAUGUUAUUAUCUCUUUUUAUACAGAGGAGGAAACUGAGGCAGACAGAGGUUAAGUGACUGACCUAGUGUCACAUAGCUAGCAAGUGUCUGAGGUUGGCUGUGAAUGUAGAUAUUUCUGGUUUUUGUUUUUGUUUUCAUUUUUUUUCCCAUUAGGGACUUGUUUUUUUCUUCCAACUGAUCUUUUAAGUGCUUGUGGGGAGAUUUGCUACCUCUUUUAGUUUCAAAUUUAUUCAAUUUGAAUUCAAUAUUCAAUUUAAAAUAUUCAAGUUUAUUUGUUAAGGCAGAGGUUAAGUGACUUGUCCAGGGUCAUAAAGCUAGCAAUUGUCUGAGCUUGGAUUUGAACUCAAGUCUUCUUUCUUCAUCAGGCACCUGAGUAUUUUCUCCUAGAUGCCACAUCUUUUAGUUCAAAUCCAACACGUAUUUUAUUAAGUGCUAUGCUGGUAACUGUAACUGUAACUAUAGAGACACAGGGUGAACAAAGUGUGUUCACAAGUAGCUUCUAAUUGGUUGGGUCUGUGUGUGGAGGAAAGAAUGGGAUAUGUAUGUACCUAAAGAAAAUACCUAGGAUAAAAGGGAAGGCAUCACCAAGAACAAAGGAGAGGUUCAGGUAAAGUGAUAGGAGCAAUCUGAAGGGAAAGAGAUGACUCAGUUGGAAGAGCUUGUGAGAGCUUGGGAAGACUUCAUGGAGAAGGUGGCCCUUGAGUUGAACCUGGGAAAAAGUUGGACCUGGAACUUCACCAGCCAUAGAGUAAGACAGGUAAUAUGGCAUAGUGGAUAAAGUAUGGACCAUAGAGUUUAGAAGUCCUGAG